GUCAUUUAGAAAAAUUUGACUGGUACAAAAUUGUCGAGUAUGCUCUAUGGCUCUGUACCUGCCACACCUACGCGGUCGAGAAAACUCUCCGAUAGAUGGUAUUCUAGAUGUACUUGGACGUCCAGGACCACGCGGUUCAAUUGCUGGUGGCAACAAAUUAUGAAACGGGAGAAUGUGCUCAGGAACUUCCCACUUGACUUCAUUUGGCAAAAGAAAUAUAGUCUCAGCAUAUGCUGUUCUCCAAGACUCAGUCGUAUAAUACAAAGAGCAUAACGUUCUCGCUGCAAAACCUCGAUCCAUGGCCACCGCAACUGCAUGCUCACAUGGAAAACUCUCCAACUAAAAUCUCGUACAAGUGCAUGUGUUAUCAGUCAAGUCCACCAUAUAUGCCAUAUUACGUGCACAUUGCACGGAGAAGUAUAACUGAUCCAGUGCUUCCACAUUCAACUUCCUCGCAACCUCUGCCACCUUAAAGAGUUUCUCCUCUUGAGCUGGGGCCAAUACGCUAGUGCAACUCUAUGAUAUUGCAUGUCGGUCAUGAAACCACUGUUGCAGCUUGUUACGAAUGCUCUCAAUCAUUGCGAGAAUUGGUAACUCUCGAUCCUUCUUAAACAAUGCAUUGAGAGACUCGCGUUAUUCGACGUCAUCAUGUUGUAUCGACGUCCUGGAAAGUAUGACCGCGCCCAAUGUUCGAUCCCCGUGUUCUUCAAAUACUCCAACGCUGGUAAUGAUUUACUUCCUAUCUCGAACAUGAACUUAUUACACUCUUUAGCACUGUAAGCUUCGACUGCUCUCAUGAACAAUGAAAUGAUGCCUUUGCGCUGAUACCUAGUCUUCAAAUUACCUUGUAUAUGGUACAUGCAAUACUCGUGAUGUGCAUCGAGAAAAAUUUUAGCGAUACCGUUUAUUAUAGACUAUCCCCAAUCGGUUACAAAGGCAAGCUCUUUGACUUCCCCGAUCACUCCCCCCACUUUAGAAAAGAACCAACGCAUGGAUAGAUCAUUCUCGCUAUCGACUAUGUCGAAUGCAAUAGGGUAAAUUUGGAUAUUGACGUCUUGACAUGUAGCAAUAAUUAAUUUGCCUUGAUAUUUAGCUUUCAAAAUUGUACCAUCAACUAGAAUUACGGGUCGCAUUGCAUUUCGAAAACCCUGAAUACAUUGUCCGAGAGCCAUGAAGAAAUACUUAGAACAAUUAUCACCCCCCGUCUCAAUAAAAAAUGUUGUGACAGGAUUAGUUGUCCCCAUAUUAUGACAAUAUCUGACGAAUUUAGCAUAACUCUCCUCAACCGAUCUCAUUAAAUCCUUCAAUGCACAUUCUUUGGCCUUCCAGGCUUUCUAGUAGUUCAUGACUACUCUAUACUCUCGACGGACGUCGUUAAUGAUGUCUGAAGGUUUGUAGAUCGUCCGUGGGUCCUGAUACUUGUACAUUAUCUGUCCACCAAUAAAUCAUGCUUGAACUUACCUGUGAUCGUUUCGAAAAAUUCCCACUUCGCAAGUAUCUUCCUGUGAAUAUUUGCGAAUUACGAAGCACUCAUUCAUGUCCAUCUUAAUUGCUCUCAAGCGGCAAUUACAACUGUUUUCGACGCAGACAACUGUUAACGAUGACUUGUUUGAUUUUUUUACUUUGAACUCAAAGUUAUAUUUUAAUGUCAGUCGAUGCACAGCUUCCUGUAAAUCUUUCUUGGUUUCAAACAGUUGCUCGACAUACAAGUCCUCAUUAUCGAGAGUCACACACGAAAAAUUGAAGGACGGUCCACUUGUUCCAACCUGUAAGCUCCCACCCGGCUCACGUCUCUGUCGGAAUAAAGCAAUUAAAUUCUCAUUUAUAUUCUCAUUGUUUUCAACCGUCAACGAAAUUUUGUGCGUAACAGCGACAUCACGAUCAGGAACAACUGUCUAAAAAAUAACCACAUCAUCCACAGGAACUAUCUCCACUGUCUCCAAAAACUCUCGAUCAUUAUCAUCCGUCCUAUUUGAAUUUUCGCGUUCACCUUCGAUAACAUCCUUCUUAAUUAAAGUCACAUCAAGAACAGUUGAAAUCCAAUGCAGUUUAUUCAAUUCUAAUAACUAAUUCAAUUCAGCAUCAUUAGUAACGAAUGUCGGUGGAAUCGAAAUGGAUAAAUCCCCAUAACCGUUGAAUAGAUAUUUCAAUUUCAUAUCAUAUUGAGAUUGAUCGACAUUCAACUUAUUUUGCAACCACAUAUGUCACUCGUCUAUCUUCAUUCUCACCGAUUAUUU
rnacentral:lncRNA from 1 species